rnacentral:rRNA from 1 species
UAAUACAGAGGGCUCGAGCGUUAAUCGGAAUCACUGGGCUUAAAGGGUGCGUAGGCGGAUGUGUAAGUAUCUUGUGAAAUCCCACGGCUUAACCGUGGAACUGCUCGGUAUACUACAUGUCUUGAGGUCGGUAGGGGCUGCCGGAACUCUAGGUGGAGCGGUGAAAUGCGUAGAUAUCUAGAGGAACGCCGAUAGUGAAGACAGGCAGCUGGGCCGAUUCUGACGCUGAGGUACGAAAGCGUGGGUAGCGAACGGGAUUAGAUACCCCGGUAGUCCACGCCCUAAACGAUGUGCACUAGAUCGUGGAGGCUCUGACGCCCCCGCAAUCGAAGCUAAAGUGUUAAGUGCACCGCCUGGGGAGUACGGUCGCAAGGCUA